rnacentral:rRNA from 1 species
UGCCCUUGACAUCCUGCGAACUUUCUAGAGAUAGAUUGGUGCCUUCGGGAACGCAGUGACAGGUGCUGCAUGGCUGUCGUCAGCUCGUGUCGUGAGAUGUUGGGUUAAGUCCCGCAACGAGCGCAACCCUUAUCAUUAGUUGCUAACAUUUAGUUGAGAACUCUAAUGAGACUGCCGGUGAUAAACCGGAGGAAGGCGGGGACGACGUCAAGUCAUCAUGGCCCUUAUGGGAUGGGCUACACACGUGCUACAAUGGGGGGUACAAAGAGCAGCCAACUGGCGACAGUGCGCGAAUCUCAUAAAACCUCUCGUAGUCCGGAUCGGAGUCUGCAACUCGACUCCGUGAAGUCGGAAUCGCUAGUAAUCGUGAAUCAGAAUGUCACGGUGAAUACGUUCCCGGGCCU